GUCCCCAUGGUCAAGCGGUUUAAGACAUCGCCCUUUCAAGGCGGUAUCACGGGUUCGAUUCCCGUUGGGGACGCCA
rnacentral:tRNA from 1 species